rnacentral:piRNA from 1 species
ACCCCUGUGGUGAAGUAUACUGUGU